AAUUUGUAGGUAGCAAAAGCACCUUCAUAAAAUGCCAAAAGUAAAUAAAUAACUUCAACGCUUCUUAAUUAACUUUAUCCUCACUUAUUCCCAAAAAAUUCUAUAAUAUUACAAGCUCUUUGAGGAAAUUAAAAUUGCAUAUAAUUGGCUAAACAUGGGGGAUAAAAGUUGACAUUGAUACAUUCCAUAUAAUAAGCACUUUAACAUCCAAUACAUUAUAGGGAAUGUGAUCUGAAAGGAACUAGUGUAGAAUGCAUGAGCAAAUAAAGUGUUUAAUGCAUCUGAUAAGAAAAAUGAACUAAGUCUAACUCAACCCAAAAGCUAGUUCAAAGGGGAUGGAUUGUCUAAAUCUUUAUAAGAGGCACAUUACCCACA
rnacentral:misc_RNA from 1 species